GCCAGCAUGGCAUAGUGAUUUGAGUGCUGGAUUAUGACUCUAGAGGCCAAGGUUCAAUUCCCCGCUCGGCCA